rnacentral:rRNA from 1 species
GGUUGAUAUUCCCGUACCGGUGUUGACGCGACCAUGCUGAACCUGGUUCGUGCUAACCGUCCGAUCUGCAUUCUGCUUUCGGGUGGGGUGUGGGGAGCGCGGGAUCCCGGCUGGUAGUAGGCAAGCGAUGGGGUGACGCAGGAGGGUAGUCCAGCCCAGGCGGUGGUUGUCCUGGGGCAAGGGUGUAGGGUGAGACAUAGGUAAAUCCGUGUCUUGUAUGCCUGAGACCUGAUGCCGAGCC